UUUCUUAGUCUACUUUUCUUUGAUUCUGUAGGUAACUGUAGAAUGAUGCUGCUAUAUUGCAGAGGAGAAACACUCAGCAAAGGAAAAGAAAGAAAAAAUGAGAAAUGUGAUAAAAUUCGGUGACGUGCUUGCAGAAUUGAAAGAAUACAGUCUGAAACUCUUGGCUUCAAGUGUCCGGAGAGGAAAUGUGCUGCUGAAUUCCUUCAAGAAAUAACUUCACAAAAGGAUCAAGAGCAGUGUUGGGUGCACAAAGAUGAACCGUUUUUCUUCCUAAUCUUAUUAGCAAUCAUAGUCACAGUUUGUAGCCUAAUUUAUUUAAUUGCAAUUGAAAGUCUAAAUUGUAACUGUUUUUCUUUCAAAAAAUUCAGGUAAAGGUAUCUUCUAAAGCAUGGCAAUUCCAACACUCAUGCAAAGCAUACUAUUACCAUAUAUAUUAUUUUCA